rnacentral:ncRNA from 1 species
AAAAGUUCUACCAGCACAAAGGUUUGGUCCUAGCCUUAUUAUCAACUGUUACCUAUCUUACACAUGCAAGUAUCCGCACCCCCGUGAGAACGCCCUCUUAACCUCCAACAGGAUGAGGAGCUGGUAUCAGGCACAAUACUUUGCCCACGACACCUAGCCACGCCACGCCCACAAGGGUAUUCAGCAGUGAUAAAUAUUGUUAAUAAGCGUCAGCUUGAAACAGCUAAGGUAAACAGAGCCGGCCAAUCCGGUGCCAGCCGCCGCGGCUACACCGUCGGGCUCAAGUUGAUAAACAUCGGCGUUAAGCGUGAUUUAAGUGAAUUUAUAAACUAGAGUUGAACUUAGACAAAGUCGUGACACGCUUGUCUACGAGAAAGCCAAAAACGAAAGUUACUCUAACCUGCCCACUUGACACCACGACAGCUAGGGCACAAACUGGGAUUAGGUACCCCACUAUGCCUAGCCGUAAAAUAUCUACUUACACCACUAACCGCCAGGGAAUUACGAGCCCAAGCUUAAAACCCAAAGGACUUGACGGUGCCCCACCCAUCUAGAGGAGCCUGUUCUAUAAUCGAUUCUCCCCGAUUCACCUCACCACUUCUAGCCUCUCAGCCUGUAUACCUCCGUCGUAAGCUUACCAUGUGAACGUAACCAGUGAGCUAAAAGACUUUUCCGUCCACACGUCAGGUCAAGGUGCAGCUUACGAAGCGGGAAGUAAUGGGCUACAAUUUCUAACUUAGAACAAACGAAAGACUACAUGAAACACAGUCAUGAAGGCGGAUUUAGUAGUAAAAAGAAAAUAGAGUGUUCUUUUUAAUAAGGCGCUGGGACGCGUACACACCGCCCGUCACCCUCUUCAAAUGCCUAAACAUGCUUCAUAACCAACAUAAGCACAACAGAAGAGGUAAGUCGUAACACGGUAAGCGUACUGGAAAGUGCGCUUGGACUA